rnacentral:rRNA from 1 species
GAUGAACGCUGGCGGCGUGCCUAAUACAUGCAAGUCGAGCGAACAGACGAGGAGCUUGCUCCUUUGACGUUAGCGGCGGACGGGUGAGUAACACGUGGGUAACCUACCUAUAAGACUGGGAUAACUUCGGGAAACCGGAGCUAAUACCGGAUCAUAUUUCGAACCGCAUGGUUCGAUAGUGAAAGAUGGCUUUGCUAUCACUUAUAGAUGGACCUGCGCCGUAUUAGCUAGUUGGUAAGGUAACGGCUUACCAAGGCAACGAUACGUAGCCGACCUGAGAGGGUGAUCGGCCACACUGGAACUGAGACCCGGUCCAGACUCCUACGGGAGGCAGCAGUAGGGAAUCUUCCGCAAUGGGCGAAAGCCUGACGGAGCAACGCCGCGUGAGUGAUGAAGGUCUUCGGAUCGUAAAACUCUGUUAUUAGGGAAGAACAAACGUGUAAGUAACUGUGCACGUCUUGACGGUACCUAAUCAGAAAGCCACGGCUAACUACGUG